rnacentral:lncRNA from 1 species
CCAUCAGAGAGAGAGGAGGAGGAAGAGGGAGUAGCAUACCAUCAGAGAGAGGAGGAGGAGGGAGUAGCAUACCAUCAGAGAGAGAGAGGAGGAGGGAGUAGCAUACCAUCAGAGAGAGGAGGAGGGAGUAGCAUACCAUCAGAGAGAGAGGAGGGAGUAGCAUACCAUCAGAGAGAGGAGGAGGAGGACGUAGCAUACCAUCAGAGAGAGGAGGAGGAGGAAGUAGCAUACCAUCAGAGAGAGGAGGAGGAGGGAGUAGCAUACCAUCAGAGAGAGGAGGAGGAGGAAGUAGCAUACCAUCAGAGAGAGGAGGAGGAAGUAGCAUACCAUCAGAGAGAGGAGGAGGAGGGAGUAGCAUACCAUCAGAGAGAGAGGAGGAGGAGGGAGUAGCAUACCAUCAGAGAGAGAGGAGGAGGAGGGAGUAGCAUACCAUCAGAGAGAGGAGGAGGAGGGAGUAGCAUACCAUCAGAGAGAGGAGGAGGAGGGAGUAGCAUACCAUCAGAGAGAGGAGGAGGAGGGAGUAGCAUACCAUCAGAGAGAGAGGAGGAGGGAGUAGCAUACCAUCAGAGAGAAGAGGAGGAGGGAGUAGCAUACCAUCAGAGAGAGAGAGGAGGAGGGAGUAGCAUACCAUCAGAGAGAGGAGGAGGUGGGAGUAGCAUACCAUCAGAGAGAGAGGGGCGAGGAGCAUACCAUCAGAGAGAGGAGGGAGUAGCAUACCAUCAGAGAGAGAGAGGAGGGAGUAGCAUACCAUCAGAGAGAGAGAGGAGGAGGGAGUAGCAUACCAUCAGAGAGAGAGGAGGGAGUAGCAUACCAUCAGAGAGAGGAGGAGGAGGACGUAGCAUACCAUCAGAGAGAGGAGGAGGAGGGAGUAGCAUACCAUCAGAGAGAGGAGGAGGAGGGAGUAGCAUACCAUCAGAGAGAGGAGGAGGAGGGAGUAGCAUACCAUCAGAGAGAAAGCAGGAGGAGGGAGUAGCAUAUCAGAGAGAGAGGAGGAGGAGGGAGUAGCAUACCAUCAGAGAGAGAGGAGGAGGAGGGAGUAGCAUACCAUCAGAGAGAGGAGGAGGAGGGAGUAGCAUACCAUUAGAGAGAGGAGGAGGAGGGAGUAGCAUACCAUCAGAGAGAGAGGAGGAGGAGGGAGUAGCAUACCAUUAGAGAGAGAGGAGGAGAGAGUAGCAUACCAUCAGAGAGAGAGGAGGAGGGAGUAGCAUACCAUCAGAGAGAAGAGGAGGAGGGAGUAGCAUACCAUCAGAGAGAGAGAGGAGGAGGGAGUAGCAUACCAUCAGAGAGAGGAGGAGGUGGGAGUAGCAUACCAUCAGAGAGAGAGGGGCGAGGAGCAUACCAUCAGAGAGAGGAGGAGGGAGUAGCAUACCAUCAGAGAGAGAGAGGAGGAGGGAGUAGCAUACCAUCAGAGAGAGAGGAGGAGGAGGGAGUAGCAUACCAUCAGAGAGAGGAGGAGGAGGAGGGAGGAGUAGCAUACCAUCAAAGAGAGAGGAGGGAGGAGCAUAUCAUCAGAGAGAGGAGGAGGGAGUAGCAUACCAUCAGAGAGAGAAGAGAGGAGGGAGUAGCAUACCAUCAGAGAGAGAGAGAAGAGAGGAGGGAGUAGCAUACCAUCAGAGAGAGAGGAGGAGGAGGGAGUAGCAUACCAUCAGAGAGAGAGAGGAGGAGGAGGGAGUAGCAUACCAUCAGAGAGAGAGGAGGAGGGAGUAGCAUACCAUCAGAGAGAGAGGAGGAGGGAGUAGCAUACCAUCAGAGAGACAGAGGAGGAGGAGGGAGUAGCAUACCAUCAGAGAGAG